rnacentral:rRNA from 1 species
GACUGUGCUAAGGUAGCAUAAUAAUUUGUCUCUUAAUUAGAGGCUGGAAUGAAUGGGUUAACUUGGGCUUGACUGUCUCUUUUUAGUCUAAAAAACUUUAGUUUUAAGUAAAAACGCUUAAAUUCUCUAGAGGGACGAGAAGACCCUUCAGAUCUUUCCUAAUAAGUAUGGGUUGAAAUCCUACUGUUAAAGGUUACCUGGGAGGGGGUUUGAACAAUAAACUUUAUUAUAAGUAAAGACUUAAAUCUAUUAAUGUCUAACUUGUUGAUCCUAUUGGAUAGCUUGAAAAGAUACCUGAGGGAUAACAGCGUAA